rfam:Gorilla gorilla gorilla genomic chromosome, chr7, whole genome shotgun sequence
GCUGGGCAUGGUGGCGCGUGCCUGUAAUCCGAGCUACUCGGGAGGCCGAGGCACAAGAAUUGCUUGAACCCAGGAGGGGGAGGUUGUAGUGCAGUGAUCAUGCCACUGCACUUCAGCCUGGGUAACAGAGUGAGACUGUGUCUCAA